GAACCUGUAAAGAGUGACCGGUCUAAAGAUGUCAUCAUUCAUUUUAAAGUCCAGCAGGCAUCUGCUGCAGAGAGGAACCAACCUGAACCUGAACCUGGACCCAGCUGUGUGCCCUUAAAGAGAAUCCCAGUGAAGGAUCUUAUUUGUAGAUUUGAACAAAGACAGCCUUCUGACACAAAGAUCCAGCAGAGACUCAAACCUGAACCUGAACCUGUAAAGAGGGACCGGUCUAAAGAUGUCAUCAUUCAUUUUAAAGUCCAGCAGGCACCUGCUGCAGAGAGGUGAGCUGUUAGUAACAUGAACUCUU